rnacentral:lncRNA from 1 species
CGGGGGGUCAUUCGGUAAGCCCACAGAACGGAGCCCAGUUCGUCGACCCAGAGGCCUUUGACUUCAUUUAGUCGGGUUUUGAGCCCGUGUAGUAUGGUUUGGUUGGUCACCUCGACUUCGCUAUUGGACUGCAGGUGCCCGAUCGAAGUCAGUCGGUACAUCAUGUGAAACCUCGCGCAGAAGUCUCUGAAGUCUUGGUUGUCGAAUUGUCGCCCAUUGUCGGUGAUAAUGGUAUGCGGCAAUUCGAACCUGAAGAUG